AGAAUCUACGCUUCUUAUUUUGAUCCUGUUUAUAAAGAUUAAUCUUUUCAAGGAUUGUUUGUUUGUUUGGAGAAAGCAAUGCUAGAUGUCCGUAUUUUCAUUCUGUGUUUUACUUGAUUCGUUUGAUGUUUAUUGUGCCGGUUGAAGUCUUGAUAUAUUCAACUUAGUUCAUAGGGAUCGGGUUUGCAAAAUUCUAUCUGCAUUCUUUGUUCAUUGUAGACAAAUGUUUUAGAUGAUAUAUACCUUAUUGAUGAAGCCUGCGAUCAUCUGGUUAAUGGCUGGAACGUCCCCUCCAAUUUGACUGAAGGAACCAUGUCCAGAAUAUACAAUCACCAAAGAGGCUGUGGAAAGAUGCCUCAAGGAUAUUCAGCUUUUGAUCCCGUGGACAGCAGAUACUAUUAUGAUGUCAACACAUCCCAUUCAAGGAACUAUUACUAUCACAAUGAAGAUAGGCGAAAAUUAGGUGAUAAUGCUCAUAUUAGGAAUCAUCUCGACAGGGAUUUUGCACCUUUCUUGAAGAGAAGGAAAUUUUCUACUUCAUCUUGGGAGGGAAGUGGAAGACAUCCAAAAACAUAUAAUCACGACCAAUUCAAAUCGGAUCAAUAUGUGGAAACUAUUGGUCCGAAUGGUGUUUCAGCAUGUGAAAAUAGUUCAACUCUUCCAGCUCACACAAUGUCCCAUGGAAAUGCCUGCACUUUGAUAACAAAUAAACGUGGUCGUACAAAAAUUGAGGAUGCUGAUACUGACAUGUCUUUCAUGUCAAGGGAUGAAAUUGAAAGAUGCUCUCCUUCAAGGAAAGAUGGUAUUGAUGCAAUGCAUGAAAUGCACUUGCGAUAUUCUUACUGUGCUUUCCUGAAAAAUCUUGGCUUACAACUGGACUUGCCACAAACAACAAUUGGAUCUUCAAUUGUUCUAUGUCACCGUUUUUUUGUUCGGAGAUCUCAUGCAUGUCAUGAUAGAUUUUUGAUUGCUACUGCUGCGCUUUUCUUGGCUGCAAAGUCCGAGGAUACCCCACGUCCUCUAAAUGAUGUGUUGAGAUUGUCGUCCGAAAUUGUUCAUAAGCAGCACUUUACUUACCUUACUCACCGAUUCCCUAUUGACUGGUUUGAGAAGUACAAGGAACGAGUAUUCGAGGCCGAGCAUUUGAUAUUGACAUCUCUAAAUUUUGAGUUACAUGUCCAUCAUCCUUAUGACCCUCUUACCUCGAUUCUCAAUAAAAUUGGUUUUGCACAAUCUCUCCUGGUGACUUUGGCUCUGAGUUUGAUAAGUGAAGGGGUUUAUACAAGAUAGCAUGCUCGCCUAUGAUAUUCUUAGCUGGCGGAUUGAUUGCCGUUCAUGGAAUGUUUUGUUUUACAUCUGAGGUUGAAACAACUGAUAUGUUAUGUAUGCCUUUUCCAUGACUAUGACAUAUAGACUUGGUAAUUGGCUAUAGAGGGUAACCACAGCUUCCCCAGAAACAUAUUACAUUUGAGAUUAACUUUUCCAUGAUCCUAUAAAAUUAUUCAGGAGUGUUUCAUGGGUUUCUACUGCAUUUCUUCACUUGUCCAUAUAGGACAUCCAUGAAGAGGCAAAAGAAGCAUAAAAGAUGAUAGUUAGUGGGUGAAGAGGCAAAAGAAGCAUAAAAGAUGAUACAUAAUGUGUGAAGAGUCAAAAGAAGCAUAAGAUUUUGAAAAGGCUGCGGAGUUCGUUGUGGCUUCAGUUUAAACCCCAUCAAAUUGCUGCUGGAGCUGCAUUCUUAGCUUCCAAAUAUUUAAAAAUGAAUCUUUCUUCAAGUCAUAACAUCUGGAAGGAGUUUGAAACCCCC